CGGGGUGUAGCGCAGUCCGGUUAGCGCGUUCGCUUAGGGUGCGAGAGGCCGGAGGUUCGAAUCCUCUCACCCCGA
rnacentral:tRNA from 1 species